GAUGAACGCUGGCGGCGUGCCUAAUACAUGCAAGUCGAGCGAACAGACGAGGAGCUUGCUCCUCUGACGUUAGCGGCGGACGGGUGAGUAACACGUGGAUAACCUACCUAUAAGACUGGGAUAACUUCUGGAAACCGGAGCUAAUACCGGAUAAUAUAUUGAACCGCAUGGUUCAAUAGUGAAAGACGGUUUUGCUGUCACUUAUAGAUGGAUCCGCGCCGCAUUAGCUAGUUGGUAAGGUAACGGCUUACCAAGGCAACGAUGCGUAGCCGACCUGAGAGGGUGAUAGGCAACACUGGAACUGAGACACGGUCCAGACUCCUACGGGAGGCAGCAGUAGGGAAUCUUCCGCAAUGGGCGAAAGCCUGACGGAGCAACGCCGCGUGAGUGAUGAAGGUCUUCGGAUCGUAAAACUCUGUUAUUAGGGAAGAACAAAUGUGUAAGUAACUAUGCACGUCUUGACGGUACCUAAUCAGAAAGCCACGGCUAACUACGUG
rnacentral:rRNA from 1 species